rnacentral:rRNA from 1 species
UACGGAGGGGGCGAGCGUUAUUCGGAAUUAUUGGGCGUAAAGGGCGCGUAGGCGGCUUGACAAGUCAAAGGUGAAAUCCCUCGGCUCAACUGAGGAACUGCCUUUGAAACUGUCUGGCUUGAGGCCGGGAGGGGGUAGCGGAAUUCCCAGUGUAGCGGUGAAAUACGUAGAUAUUGGGAGGAACACCAGUGGCGAAGGCGGCUACCUGGACCGGUUCUGACGCUGAUGCGCGAAAGCGUGGGUAGCAAACAGG